rnacentral:rRNA from 1 species
GACGAACGCUGGCGGCGUGCUUAACACAUGCAAGUCGAACGGAAAGGCCCUGCUUUUGUUGGGUGCUCGAGUGGCGAACGGGUGAGUAACACGUGAGUAACCUGCCCUUGACUUUGGGAUAACUUCAGGAAACUGGGGCUAAUACCGGAUAGGAGCUCCUGCUGCAUGGUGGGGGUUGGAAAGUUUCGGCGGUUGGGGAUGGACUCGCGGCUUAUCAGCUUGUUGGUGGGGUAGUGGCUUACCAAGGCUUUGACGGGUAGCCGGCCUGAGAGGGUGACCGGCCACAUUGGGACUGAGAUACGGCGCAGACUCCUACGGGAGGCAGCAGUGGGGAAUCUUGCACAAUGGGCCGAAGCCUGAUGCAGCAACGCCGCGUGCGGGAUGCCGGCCUUCGGGUUGUAAACCGCUUUCGCCUGUGACGAAGCGUGAGUGACGGUAAUGGGUAAAGAAGCACCGGCUAACUACGUG